rnacentral:rRNA from 1 species
UCGGUAAUGGAUGGGCAUGCGUCCGAUUAGCUAGUUGGCGGGGUAACGGCCCACCAAGGCAACGAUCGGUAGGGGGUCUGAGAGGAUGAUCCCCCACACUGGUACUGAGAUACGGACCAG